rnacentral:lncRNA from 1 species
AAUGUGUACUAUUCCAAAACGUUAACUCUUGUGAUAAAAUAAAUUGCUAUUAAGAUACUGAUUACUUUUAUAACAUUCUGACUUACUUUGCUUGUUUGAGUAUUUAUCAUUUGUCACAUGACUUUUAUAGGUACAAGGAAUAUGUAUAAGAUCUCCUAUUUGUAUGGAAGUACAAAAUCAAAUACUAUAAGCUUGUUGUAAACCUAAACAACAAAUCAAGGAUCAUUGGUGGAAAACAACGAUUCCAUUAAGGUGAGUUCAUUACCUGCACAAGGUAUAAAAUGGACCAACAAUUCUGCCUCCGCUAUUAAGGAUUACAGGCUCUACCGUGAUACUUUGGCUAAUAAAAGGUGGAGGUGCCCCGACUGGCAUUAUGAGAGGUAAACCUUUAUCAUUAUUUUUGUUGUAUAUGUAUAUUAAUGUGUAAAUCCACUAUAUGUUAUGUAGAGUAAUGUGUAUGUAUGUGUUUCU